AGUGAACGCUGGCGGUAGGCCUAACACAUGCAAGUCGAACGGCAGCACAGUAAGAGCUUGCUCUUACGGGUGGCGAGUUGCGUACGGGUGAGGAAUACAUCGGAAUCUACUUUUUCGUGGGGGAUAACGUAGGGAAACUUACGCUAAUACCGCAUACGACCUACGGGUGAAAGCAGGAGAUCUUCGGACCUUGCGCGAUUGAAUGAGCCGAUGUCGGAUUAGCUAGUUGGCGGGGUAAAGGCCCACCAAGGCGACGAUCCGUAGCUGGUCUGAGAGGAUGAUAAGCGACACUGGAACUGAGACACGGUCCAGACUCCUACGGGAGGCAGCAGUGGGGAAUAUUGGACAAUGGGCGCAAGCCUGAUCCAGCCAUACCGCGUGGGUGUAGACGGCCUUCGGGUUGUAAAGCCCUUUUGUUGGGAAAGAAAAGCAGCAGGUUAAUACCCAGCUGUUCUGACGGUACCCAAAGAAUAAGCACCGGCUAACUUCGUG
rnacentral:rRNA from 1 species